rnacentral:tRNA from 1 species
UGCCCUGUGGUGUAACUGGAAACAUGUGAGAUUUCGACUCUCGUGACACGGGUUCGACUCCUGUCAGGGCAA